CACUGCAGCAGGACAUCCCUUCCGUUUCCCCGGAACCAAGCAAGAUUGGAGGGUGGAGGCAAAGACACUUUGGGUCAGGAUAAAGCUAGUUCAGGCUCUCCUCAUCCUGUGGGGUUUAAACAGACAGGGAGGGCUUUCCCCCACGGUACAGGUGACUGACACACUCCCCAGCACCUCACUGAGCUGUUACAGAACACUGCCACAGAGCCCAGCCUUGCUUUCUCUGCUCCACACUUCCCGGCACACCUCUGCAUCCCACUUCCUCAAUCCUGCGUGGACCUCCACACUGCGACCUCACUGCUGUAUAGGUUAGGCCAGACAGAAUGCUGAGAUAGACAUUCCUUUCCCCACAACCUCUUCUCUGACUCAUCUGUCCAGAGGAACUCCCCCCCCCCCGUUGGGGUUUUACCUGGACUCUGAACAAUGUGGGCUUUCAAAGCAAUUUAUUCAAUACAGACUUCUCCUCCAUUUUUCUCACCUCCCCUGGACUUCCAGCUGGUCCUCACCAAGGCUUUGAGUCUUCUUAUUCACUGUUUAUUUUCCCCUCUUACUCUUUCUGGCAGACCACCUUCCCUGACGGUUCCUCUAUUAUCCCCCUUCUUCAAUCAGGCUGAUAGAUCCUGGUCUGCUCUUGGCACCAACCUUAGGGGGAGACUCCUUCCUAUACUCCUCAGUGACACCCCCUUGUCCUGUUGUAUAGUAAUGCAGACCCAAUCACUUAAAACGUGUAGGUGAUG
rnacentral:lncRNA from 1 species